AAUAGCAUAACUUAAAUGAAUAGAAUUUUGAGUCGUGGUUCGAUUUGAAUGGGCAAUUUGGGCAGUUCUUCACACGUCACCCGAUUCUUUCCCAUUUCGUGAUACCGUAUUCGUGUCACUAGGUUAAUCACGGUUCCGUGAGUUGUGUUUGGCUCUGUUGGAUUACUGUUCGAAUUUGGGAAAUGAAAUUGGGAUUGCGGUUCUGUACCGACAAAUAGGUUGAAAACAAUCAAGUCUAUCCCUAUUUAAAUACAUGAUUCUAAACCCAUUGAAUGUGGUUCAUUGGGACUGACUUCGAUCCGGUAACCAGAAUGGGGACUGUUUGUAAGUUAGUCGUUGUUUUUGCAACACCCGUUGCAGCCAUUAUCAACCCAGUUGUAUUUACCGGACAUGUUGGAAUUAAGGGUAUAUGAUACUGAAAGUUAUAUUCGGC
rnacentral:lncRNA from 1 species